rnacentral:rRNA from 1 species
ACUGUAGGCGGCAGAGUGGAGUAUAGUCGUAACAUGGCAUAUCUAUAACGCUGGAGGACACUAGCUAUAACGUUGCCUCGGCGGGAACAGACGGGCCCGGAACACGGGCCGCCCCCGCCAGAGGACCCCCUAACUCUGUUUCUAUAAUGUUUCUUCUGAGUAAACAAGCAAAUAAAUUAAAACUUUCAACAACGGAUCUCUUGGCUCUGGCAUCGAUGAAGAACGCAGCGAAAUGCGAUAAGUAAUGUGAAUUGCAGAAUUCAGUGAAUCAUCGAAUCUUUGAACGCACAUUGCGCCCGCCAGUAUUCUGGCGGGCAUGCCUGUUCGAGCGUCAUUACAACCCUCAGGCCCCCGGGCCUGGCGUUGGGGAUCGGCGGAAGCCCCCUGCGGGCACAACGCCGUCCCCCAAAUACAGUGGCGGUCCCGCCGCAGCUUCCAUUGCGUAGUAGCUAACACCUCGCAACUGGAGAGCGGCGCGGCCACGCCGUAAAACACCCAACUUCUGAAUGUUGACCUCGAAUCAGGUAGGAAUACCCGCUGAACUUAAGCAUAUCAAUAAGCGGAGGAA